UCCGGGGUUACCCGGCAGUCUCGCUAGAGAAGUAUAACUAGCGACAAGGGUUGCGCUCGUUGCGGGACUUAACCCAACACCUCACGGCACGAGCUGACGACGGCCGUGCAACACCUGUGCACGCUCCCCGAAGGGUCCCUCACCUUUCGGAUCAGUACCACGUGCAUGUCAAACCUGGGUAAGGUUCUUCGCGUAUCAUCGAAUUAAACCACACGCUCCGCUGCUUGUGCGGGCCCCCGUCAAUUCCUUUGAGUUUUAGCCUUGCGGCCGUAGUCCCCAGGCGGAGUACUUAUCGCGUUAGCUUCGGCACGGAGGGGGUCGAUACCCCCCACACCUAGUACUCAUCGUUUAGGGCGUGGACUAC
rnacentral:misc_RNA from 1 species